UACGUAGGGUGCGAGCGUUGUCCGGAAUUAUUGGGCGUAAAGAGCUUGUAGGCGGUCUGUCGCGUCUGCUGUGAAAAUCCGGGGCUCAACCCCGGACUUGCAGUGGGUACGGGCAGACUAGAGUGUGGUAGGGGAGACUGGAAUUCCUGGUGUAGCGGUGAAAUGCGCAGAUAUCAGGAGGAACACCGAUGGCGAAGGCAGCUCACUGGGACGGUACUGACGCUGAGACGCGAAAGCGUGGGGAGCAAACAGG
rnacentral:rRNA from 1 species